GACGAACGCUGGCGGCGUGCCUAAUACAUGCAAGUCGAGCGCAGGAAACUGACGGAACUCUUCGGAGGGAAGGCAGCGGAAUGAGCGGCGGACGGGUGAGUAACACGUAAGGAACCUGCCUCAAGGAUUGGGAUAACUCCGAGAAAUCGGAGCUAAUACCGGAUAGUUCAACGGACCGCAUGGUCCGCUGAUGAAAGGCGCUUCGGCGUCACCUUGAGAUGGCCUUGCGGUGCAUUAGCUAGUUGGUGGGGUAACGGCCCACCAAGGCGACGAUGCAUAGCCGAACUGGGAGGGUGAUCGGCCACACGGGGACUGGGCAACGGCCCAGACUCCUACGGGAGGCAGCAGUAGGGAAUCUUCCACAAUGGACGAAAGUCUGAUGGAGCAACGCCGCGUGAGUGAUGAAGGUUUUCGGAUCGUAAAACUCUGUUGUAAGGGAAGAACACGUACGAGAGGAAAUGCUCGUACCUUGACGGUACCUUACGAGAAAGCCACGGCUAACUACGUGCCAGCCGCCGCAGUAAGAC
rnacentral:rRNA from 1 species